UACGUAGGGUGCGAGCGUUAAUCGGAAUUACUGGGCGUAAAGCGUGCGCAGGCGGUUCGUUGUGUCGGUGGUGAAAGCCCCGGGCUUAACCUGGGAAUGGCCAUGGAAACUGGCGAACUGGAGUGUGGCAGAGGGGGGUGGAAUUCCGCGUGUAGCAGUGAAAUGCGUAGAGAUGCGGAGGAACACCGAUGGCGAAGGCAGCCCCCUGGGCGUAGCACUGACGCUCAGGCACGAAAGCGUGGGGAGCAAACAGG
rnacentral:rRNA from 1 species